CAGCCGCCACGGUAAUACGAAGGGUGCAAGCGUUAAUCGGAGUUACUGGGCGUAAAGCGUGCGUAGGCGGUGAGUUAAGUCUGCUGUGAAAUCCCCGGGCUCAACCUGGGAAUGGCAGUGGAUACUGGCUCGCUAGAGUGUGUCAGAGGAUGGUGGAAUUCCCGGUGUAGCGGUGAAAUGCGUAGAGAUCGGGAGGAACAUCAGUGGCGAAGGCGGCCAUCUGGGACAACACUGACGCUGAGGCACGAAAGCGUGGGGAGCAAACAGGAUUAGAUACCCGAGUAGUCCCUGUCUCUUAUAC
rnacentral:rRNA from 1 species